GAGAGGGAGAGGGAAAGAGAGACAAAAAGAUAGUUAGAGAGGGACAGACAGGCAAACAGACAGAGACACAGACAGAUAAAUAGAUUAAUCCAUCAAUCGAUUGGUCGUUUUUAUCUUUGGCUUAUUAAAAGGUGUCCCGUCUUUCGAAGGAGAGAAAGAACGAUGGAGUGAUCGGGAGAGAGGAAGGAGUGCCUGAACAGAGGGAUAGAGAAAGAGAGAGACUUUCAAAUCGCUUUCCCAGAGAAGUGAAGGAUGGCUGAGGUUCAGCGUCCUAGGAGUGCGCUGAGUCAGGCGUCCAGCGUUGGGACGGUCUCAUCCAUGACCCUGGGUUCAAAGGGCUCAGGUUCCAAGCUGCACAGUUUUGGAAAGAGGGGACAGUCCAUCAGGAGAGACCCCAACUCCGCGGUCGUGAUUCGAGGCUGGCUGUUCAAACAGGUACCCAGCCCCCGUCUGCCAGAGA